GACGAACGCUGGCGGCGUGCUUAACACAUGCAAGUCGAACGGUAAGGCCCUUCGGGGUACACGAGUGGCGAACAGGUGAGUAACACGUGGGUGAUCUGCCCUGCACUUCGGGAUAAGCCUGGGAAACUGGGUCUAAUACCGGAUAGGACUCCUGCCUGCAUGGGUGGGGGUGGAAAGCUUUUGCGGUGUGGGAUGGGCCCGCGGCCUAUCAGCUUGUUGGUGGGGUGAUGGCCUACCAAGGCGACGACGGGUAGCCGGCCUGAGAGGGUGACCGGCCACACUGGGAGUGAGAUACGGCCCAGACUCCUACGGGAGGCAGCAGUGGGGAAUAUUGCACAAUGGGCGCAAGCCUGAUGCAGCGACGCCGCGUGAGGGAUGACGGCCUUCGGGUUGUAAACCUCUUUCAGCAUCGACGAAGCGAAAGCGACGGUAGGUGCAGAAGAAGGACCGGCCAACUACGUGCCAGCCGCCGCAGUAA
rnacentral:rRNA from 1 species